GACGAACGCUGGCGGCGUGCCUAAUACAUGCAAGUAGAACGCACAGUUUAUACCGUAGCUUGCUACACCAUAAACUGUGAGUUGCGAACGGGUGAGUAACGCGUAGGUAACCUGCCUGGUAGCGGGGGAUAACUAUUGGAAACGAUAGCUAAUACCGCAUAAUAUUGAUUAUUGCAUGAUAAUUGAUUGAAAGAUGCUAUUGCAUCACUACCAGAUGGACCUGCGUUGUAUUAGCUAGUAGGUGAGGUAACGGCUCACCUAGGCGACGAUACAUAGCCGACCUGAGAGGGUGAUCGGCCACACUGGGACUGAGACACGGCCCAGACUCCUACGGGAGGCAGCAGUAGGGAAUCUUCGGCAAUGGACGAAAGUCUGACCGAGCAACGCCGCGUGAGUGAAGAAGGUUUUCGGAUCGUAAAGUUCUGUUGUAAGAGAAGAACGGGUGUGAGAGUGGAAAGUUCACACUGUGACGGUAUCUUACCAGAAAGGGACGGCUAACUACGUG
rnacentral:rRNA from 1 species